rnacentral:rRNA from 1 species
GAUGAACGCUGGCGGCGUGCCUAAUACAUGCAAGUCGAACGCUGAAGCAGUAGCUUGCUCUUCUGGAUGAGUUGCGAACGGGUGAGUAACGCGUAGGUAACCUGCCUGUUACCUGGGGAUAACUAUUGGAAACGAUAGCUAAUACCGCAUGACAACAGUUGUUGCAUGAUGACUGUUUGAAAGUGGCAACUGCUCCACUACCAGACGGACCUUCUGUGUAUUAGCUAGUUGGUGCGGUAACGGCUCACGAAGGCGAGGAUACAUAGCCGACCGGAGAGGGGGAUCAGCCACCCUGGGACGGAGACACGGCACAGUGGGAUUCGGGAGGCAGCAGGAGGGCUUCGGCGGGAAUCGAUGGAAGUUUGAGCGAGAAGCGCCGAAGGCGGGUGGAGGGUUUUCGGGUGGUAAAGGUCGGUUGUAAGAGAAGAACGAGUGUGAGCGUGGAAAGUUGACACUGUGACGGUAACUGAUAAGAAAGGGACGGCUAACUACGUG